UACGGAGGGUGCAAGCGUUUAAUCGGAAUUACUGGGCGUAAAGCGUGCGUAGGCGGUUCGUUAAGUCUGUUGUGAAAGCCCCGGGCUCAACCUGGGAAUGGCAAUGGAUACUGGCGAGCUAGAGUGUGUCAGAGGAUGGUGGAAUUCCCGGUGUAGCGGUGAAAUGCGUAGAGAUCGGGAGGAACACCAGUUGCGAAGGCGGCUGACUGGACACAUAUUGACGCUGAGGCUCGAAAGCAUGGGGAGCAAACAGGG
rnacentral:rRNA from 1 species